UACGGAGGGUGCAAGCGUUAUCCGGAUUCACUGGGUUUAAAGGGUGCGUAGGUGGGCAGGUAAGUCAGUGGUGAAAUCUCCGGGCUUAACUCGGAAACUGCCAUUGAUACUAUCUUUCUUGAAUGUCGUGGAGGUUAGCGGAAUAUGUCAUGUAGCGGUGAAAUGCUUAGAUAUGACAUAGAACACCUAUUGCGAAGGCAGCUAGCUACGCGAAUAUUGACGCUGAGGCACGAAAGCGUGGGGAUCAAACAGG
rnacentral:rRNA from 1 species